UGCUGGCGAAACCGUUCGGUCUUUUACGUCGGGACCUGAGAGUUGUUAAGUGCUUGUAGAUGCAGAGGAAAAUUCCAGAAAUGGGAAAAUGUUUGCUGGAAAAUUACUUGGUCGGAACUUGACAGUCUUACCAGCGUUCUGGGGUUGUGAAUACUGAUGAAGCUACAGAUGUCACUGGUGACCAGCUUCAUUUUAAAGUAAGGUAAUUGAGGGGUCGCUGUCUGUCUAUUGAAAGAGGCCAGUUUGCUGUGGAAUUCCUAAGGUGUAAGCAUUUUUGGCUAGACAAGAUUUACUUGUCUGUAAUAUGAAAAACUGAUGAUCAGGAAAAGCUCUUCAUUUUGUGGACAUGGAAAGAAAACAAAUACCAAGGUGGAUUAUAUUUCUUAAUGUUGUGAAUGGAUUUCUGAACCAAUAUCUAGAUUAAUGCAUCCAUAAUAUUCAAGCCAUUUCUGUUUUAAUCAUUUCACUACCCAAGAGUCAUAACCUGUUAACCAGUGUAUUAUUUCCUAGCUCUGAAGUUUGUUUUUUGAUUAUCCAGCCUUGAAAUUAAAUAAUUCUGAAUGAA